AUACUUACCUGAUCAUGAAGGUGGUUUUCCCAGGGCGAGUCUUAUUCUUUGCACUCGGAUGUGCUGACCCCUGCGAUUUCCCCAAAUGUGGGAAACUCUACUGCAUAAUCUGUGGCAGGGGGGCCUGCGUUCAUGCUCACCCCUG
rnacentral:snRNA from 1 species